AAGGUUUUAAGUUAAAGAAACUAAUAGCCUUCAAAGCUAGAAAUAAAGAUCAUUUUUAAACCUUA
rnacentral:tRNA from 1 species